AUUUUUCAAAAGUUGAUAACCAUAGAAACUUAUUAAGAUGCCAAACACUGCUUCUAAUUCUUUUUCGAAAUGACAAAAUUCGUUCGUUGUCCUUCUCACCCUUAUUGUUUUCAGAGCUUCCGUUGUCUUCUUUCAUGUCACGAUCCUCAGUAGCAGAACCAAGAAUAGCUUGGCAAUUUUCUGUAUAUUUCUUCACCGCUUCAACCUCCUUCUCUAUACGCUACUUAAUUGCGACCACUCAAAAUGGA
rnacentral:lncRNA from 1 species